GGUACUGGAGGGGGCAGGAGAGAGGUACAGAGAGUUAGGAAAUCGAAUAAAAAUAUGUAGCAGUGUGUAAUGAGGAACAGGGAGCAGCCACUGAAGGGUCCCAGGUGCCAGGGAAGUGAGAGGCUCCCAGGACCCAGUGGAGAUGACUCUAGUGGAAAUGCACAGUGAAGGGGAGAUAGAACUUGUAGAGUUGACCUCCAGUAGAUAAGCACAGCAGUAGAGAGAUGUGGCCACCCAACCACCUCAAAGUUUUUAACCCAGAAAUAUUCCUUUCCAAAGGAAAGCCAGGGACAAAAAAUUGGAGCAGAGACUGAAGGAAGGGACAUCACUAAAUGCUUUUAAAUCUUUUCUGAGGAGGUGGCUGAGUUAGCGAGGCCUCUGUAUUUAAACUGCUGGGUAGCAGUAACUUGAAUUUGGAUAUGACAUUUCUCAUCAAAGUAGUAUGGAGGCCGAAUCUUGAGAGCUGUUACCAAAAUGUCUUUAUUUUCUAUGGGACCAUCACACUGUUCAGGCUUUCUGAAAGCUGGGGUGGAUUUCCAUGGAUACCGUGUCCACUGGAUCUUCUAUGUUGGUCUUACACCUUGUACCUCACAUCCGCUCUCACAUCCUCUCCUACCCUAUCCAAUCCCCCACACUCUGCCCUUAGAGGAGGGCCUAAGGCUUCCUAGCAUAAAUCCCGGCUGGAUUGCACCAAUAGAGGGCAAGGGCAGGAGACUGACUGGUAUGUGAAGAGUGAGGUUCGUGUUUAUAUCCCGCCUCUUCCUCCCUGACUCAGGCUUUGGGUUAGCUCUGCUGUCACUACUAAAACUUCUCCUAUCAGGCAUCCUUUUCUCCACAGCGACAAUUCACUGGUUCUAGAAACUCCUCAAGCCUGGACCUUAGAGGAAGCAAAGAGUCCCAGCUCCAGGUAAGGCCUGACUGGAGUCCUUCAGCCUGAACAACCCUGAACAGCCUCCGAAGAGCCCCACCCUCACUUUCACGAAUCAUCUCUCAGUUAAAUUCUCCUCACACGGCCACGCUGAGGGAACCUGCCACCUCCCACUGGACCCUGACUGGCACAGACCUGCACAUGGGGACUCUCUUCCACCAUGGCCCACUCUGCCUGCACUGAUUUCAGUCUUGGAGAGCUGCCCACUCUCCAUCUCAUACUGAAAUGAAAAGAUAAUUUAUCUAAAACCAGUUCAUAUUUUAGAAAACUCCGAAGUUCAAGCCCAUGGUAGUUGUAUCAUUUGAUGUGUGAGUCGACUUAAGUGCAAAUCAACGCCUACUAUGCAGUAUUCACAAUAGAUCCGUUAUGAAGUCGACCUCAGUGUCCAACGGCAGAGGCUGGAGAGGAAAGGAUAUGCACUGGACAAAAGAAAAGCAAAGUCGGCUAUGUUCUCUGCAGGAAAACAGAUGGGACUAAAGAUCACUGAACACAGCAACUGUGUCCCGUGCUAUGCCAAGAAACACUGACAAGUGACCUGGUGACCAAAUAGAAGGAGGAGGAAAGGACCAAUAGAAGGAGGAGGAAGUAAGAGGCGGAGUCUCGAUGGGGAGGUUGUCGGAGGUUGCUGGGCAACUAACAGUUUAUAAGUGCUAGGCCAGAGGGAUGAACAAAGACAGCGUCACUAUGCUCCUUCAACGUGCAACAAGUCAGCAAGUGGAUGAGACAUGGAGCUCUGCCACAGAAUGUCAUCCAGAGACCCAGCUGCUCGAGAAGGGAUUCAUUUGUCUCACGGAUGAAGCAAACAACUGCGAUGAACACAGCUGGCCAUCCUCUCACCAAGAAGCUUCCUUUGAGAAUAUUUGCAUUCAAAGACACAGGAUUGGCUAUGCCCAGUGAGCACAGCUCCCUCAUAGACUAGAACCCAGUUACAGGAGGAUGUCUUUGUCUACACGCUGCCCUGCUGCCCUCCAUGUGGUCAGUUUCUCAGUAAUAGUUGCUAAGUUCUCUUUUAUUUUAUUUACUUUAUCUUAAGGAGUCCACCUCAUCCCAAACACUGACACCAACGACAUUAGGUCUGCCUUAAGACACUGCUUUGGAAUAAGCAUCUUGCCCGCCACAUGCCAGCUCCUCUUGGUACUGUGGGACUGAAGGAGACAUUUACAUAGCAAAGAUACUUCAGACCCUCUUUGUGUGUUGAGUGAGAAGACAUUCUGCCUGGUGACAAGACAACAGGGUACUUGUGCAGUUGACUUGUUCUAUCUUCAAGCACAAAAAUAAAUCAUAGCCACAGAACCCUUUUUAGUCCCCACAAGUACCGCAGCUGAACUUUAACUGAGCAUUUGGGCUUCUUAUCAAAGGUCUUAACCUUGAAAAUUCCUGUGAUCUCUUUUCAUAAAUAAUUGUAUAUUCUAUUUCCAUGGAGCCUAGUUCUGCAGCCUCACAUGUUAGCACAUGACAGAAACUAUAAAAGUGUCACUAGACAGAUGUUCUUUCCUUAUACACCCAAAGGCAGCCCACAUGAACCUGCAGAACAUGCAUAAUAGAGACAAUUCCAUGCUCAA